GACGAACGCUGGCGGCGUGCUUAACACAUGCAAGUCGAACGGUAAGGCCUUUCGGGGUACACGAGUGGCGAACGGGAGAGUAACACGUGGGUGAUCUGCCCUGCACUUCGGGAUAAGCCCGGGAAACUGGGUCUAAUACCGGAUAGGACUGCGCGGUGCAUGCCGUGUGGUGGAAAGAUUUAUCGGUGCAGGAUGGGCCCGCGGCCUAUCAGCUUGUUGGUGGGGUAAUGGCCUACCAAGGCGACGACGGGUAGCCGGCCUGAGAGGGCGACCGGCCACACUGGGACUGAGACACGGCCCAGACUCCUACGGGAGGCAGCAGUGGGGAAUAUUGCACAAUGGGCGCAAGCCUGAUGCAGCGACGCCGCGUGAGGGAUGACGGCCUUCGGGUUGUAAACCUCUUUCAGCAGGGACGAAGCGUGAGUGACGGUACCUGCAGAAGAAGCACCGGCCAACUACGUG
rnacentral:rRNA from 1 species